CAUUUGCUUCGUUAGGUGAGGCUCCUGUACGGAAACAGGUCGCUACCCGGAAACAUCGAAAGAUGCCAAUGGGUUAACAGGUAUUACCGGAUUAAGGUUCUACCUAAUGCGGCUGGGAAAUCCCCCUUACGCCGUGCAGUGCUAAAGCUCAACGAGUGGAGAGAACA
rnacentral:sRNA from 2 species